GCCUCUGUAGCUCAGUGGAUAGAGCACCAGUUUCCGGUACUGGUUGUCGAAGGUUCGAAUCCUUUCAGGGGCAC
rnacentral:tRNA from 1 species